CUCCUGAUGGCACAGUUGGUAGCGCGUUGGACUGUAAUUGAAAAUCUGCCUUAGAGAUCCACAGGUCGUGUGUUCGAGUCACACUCAGGAGA
rnacentral:tRNA from 1 species